UGGUGACUUACCUGGCCUUGUUGCCAUCCC
rnacentral:piRNA from 1 species